rnacentral:rRNA from 1 species
AACGAACGCUGGCGGCAUGCCUAACACAUGCAAGUCGAACGAGACCUUCGGGUCUAGUGGCGCACGGGUGCGUAACGCGUGGGAACCUGCCCUUAGGUUCGGAAUAACUCCCCGAAAGGGGUCCUAAUACCGGAUAAUAUCUUCGGACCAAAGAUUUAUCGCCUUUGGAUGGGCCCGCGUUGGAUUAGCUAGUUGGUAGGGUAACAGCCUACCAAGGCGACGAUCCAUAGCUGGUCUGAGAGGAUGAUCAGCCACACUGGGACUGAGACACGGCCCAGACUCCUACGGGAGGCAGCAGUGGGGAAUAUUGGACAAUGGGCGAAAGCCUGAUCCAGCAAUGCCGCGUGAGUGAUGAAGGCCGUAGGGUUGUAAAGCUCUUUUACCCGGGAUGAUAAUGACAGUACCGGGAGAAUAAGCUCCGGCUAACUCCGUG